rnacentral:lncRNA from 1 species
GAUAGGAUGUGCAAUAUUUCAGAUUAUUGAAUUAAAAACUACAAGAUCAAGAAAGUGAUUCUUAGGAACAAGCAUAAAGAACUGGACUUCUUUUGAGUGGCUGACCCUCAAGAACCAAUCCAUCCAUCCCACGGUAGGACUGGGCCAGGAACGGAAGGUAUCAUUCCAUAGAUCCAAAGAGAAAUUCUCGGCUCUAAAAGCGAUCCUGUUGGUUUCUACGUUAAUAAGAUCGGUUGGAUCUGGAUUCCCUAACGGACCAAGAUAUUGGAGGUGUGGUUGAUCGGUGGGGAUGACGAUUUUGUUGGACAGAUUCUAAUGGUUUUGAAGGUAAAAGAAAAAAACAAAGAAAGAAAAAGAAGAUGUUCAGUAAAAUAGAUUGCAGAUGAACAGGGAUGCGAGGAAAAGCACAGAAGGUGGAGUGAAGAACUAACCUCAGGAACGGUGAAGUUGAUGGCCAUCUCGCCACGAAGAGGAUGAUCGAGGGCUUCGGAGUUGGUGAAGAAGGACUUCAUCGGGGAUCUUGAAGCUCUCGAACAAUGCCGCCGCCGGGAAAGUGGAGUUGGUGCUGUGGAAUGAUGUGAUGGGGAAGGAGUACCUGAGAAGGAACUAUUUAUAGGACAAAAUGGGCAAGGGCAAAUCUGACUUAUCUCCCC